rnacentral:rRNA from 1 species
CGGAAGACCAAGGGUUCCUGUCCAACGUUAAUCGGGGCAGGGUGAGUCGACCCCUAAGGCGAGGCCGAAAGGCGUAGUCGAUGGGAAACAGGUUAAUAUUCCUGUACUUGGUGUUACUGCGAAGGGGGGACGGAGAAGGCUAUGUUGGCCGGGCGACGGUUGUCCCGGUUUAAGCGUGUAGGCUGGUUUUCCAGGCAAAUCCGGAAAAUCAAGGCUGAGGCGUGAUGACGAGGCACUACGGUGCUGAAGCAACAAAUGCCCUGCUUCCAGGAAAAGCCUCUAAGCAUCAGGUAACAUCAAAUCGUACCCCAAACCGACACAGGUGGUCAGGUAGAGAAUACCAAGGCGCUUGAGAGAACUCGGGUGAAGGAACUAGGCAAAAUGGUGCCGUAACUUCGGGAGAAGGCACGCUGAUAUGUAGGUGAAGUCCCUCGCGGAUGGAGCUGAAAUCAGUCGAAGAUACCAGCUGGCUGCAACUGUUUAUUAAAAACACAGCACUGUGCAAACACGAAAGUGGACGUAUACGGUGUGACGCCUGCCCGGUGCCGGAAGGUUAAUUGAUGGGGUCAGCGCAAGCGAAGCUCUUGAUCGAAGCCCCGGUAAACGGCGGCCGUAACUAUAACGGUCCUAAGGUAGCGAAAUUCCUUGUCGGGUAAGUUCCGACCUGCACGAAUGGCGUAAUGAUGGCCAGGCUGUCUCCACCCGAGACUCAGUGAAAUUGAACUCGCUGUGAAGAUGCAGUGUACCCGCGGCAAGACGGAAAGACCCCGUGAACCUUUACUAUAGCUUGACACUGAACAUUGAGCCUUGAUGUGUAGGAUAGGUGGGAGGCUUUGAAGUGUGGACGCCAGUCUGCAUGGAGCCGACCUUGAAAUACCACCCUUUAAUGUUUGAUGUUCUAACGUGGACCCGUGAUCCGGGUUGCGGACAGUGUCUGGUGGGUAGUUUGACUGGGGCGGUCUCCUCCUAAAGAGUAACGGAGGAGCACGAAGGUUGGCUAAUCCUGGUCGGACAUCAGGAGGUUAGUGCAAUGGCAUAAGCCAGCUUGACUGCGAGCGUGACGGCGCGAGCAGGUGCGAAAGCAGGUCAUAGUGAUCCGGUGGUUCUGAAUGGAAGGGCCAUCGCUCAACGGAUAAAAGGUACUCCGGGGAUAACAGGCUGAUACCGCCCAAGAGUUCAUAUCGACGGCGGUGUUUGGCACCUCGAUGUCGGCUCAUCACAUCCUGGGGCUGAAGUAGGUCCCAAGGGUAUGGCUGUUCGCCAUUUAAAGUGGUACGCGAGCUGGGUUUAGAACGUCGUGAGACAGUUCGGUCCCUAUCUGCCGUGGGCGCUGGAGAACUGAGGGGGGCUGCUCCUAGUACGAGAGGACCGGAGUGGACGCAUCACUGGUGUUCGGGUUGUCAUGCCAAUGGCACUGCCCGGUAGCUAAAUGCGGAAGAGAUAAGUGCUGAAAGCAUCUAAGCACGAAACUUGCCCCGAGAUGAGUUCUCCCUGACCCUUUAAGGGUCCUGAAGGAACGUUGAAGACGACGACGUUGAUAGGCCGGGUGUGUAAGCGCAGCGAUGCGUUGAGCUAACCGGUACUAAUGAACCGUGAGGCUUAACCUUACAACGCCGAAGGUGUUU